rnacentral:rRNA from 1 species
UACGUAGGGUGCAAGCGUUAAUCGGAAUUACUGGGCGUAAAGCGUGCGCAGGCGGUUCGCUAAGACAGAUGUGAAAUCCCCGGGCUUAACCUGGGAACUGCAUUUGUGACUGGCGGGCUAGAGUAUGGCAGAGGGGGGUAGAAUUCCACGUGUAGCAGUGAAAUGCGUAGAGAUGUGGAGGAAUACCGAUGGCGAAGGCAGCCCCCUGGGCUGACACUGACGCUCAGGCACGAAAGCGUGGGGAGCAAACAGG